ACCUACUUCCAGGAGCCUUUCUCUGGCUCCCAUCGUUAGACCUCCUGGCUUCUGAUCCUGGUCUCUCAAGGGACCAAGGUUUAUAACACGCUACCCUCAAAGAGCUGACCAGCACUAAUGACAAAGAAAUGGCUGGAUAGCUAAACAAAUCCCACCUGCCCCACCCACACAACUGCAGGUUCUCUUCAAGUAUUCAGGGAGCCUCUGAGCACUUCAUCUCCUGAGAGCUUACAGGUGAGGAGAAGGACCUGAAUGCACAUCACAGCUAAUAAAAAGAAAGAAAAAGCUAAAGAGCCCAGUGUGGGGUCUACACAGCAAGGCUGCAGUGGUCCAAUGCGGGUCUCUGAGGUCCUGGAGGAGGAAGUGCAUUUGCCGAAUGGUUAAGAGCCCAGACUCUGAAGUCAGCACUACAGCUCUGUCACUUACAGAUACUGCAUGGUCGAAGUAAGCAUGGAUUUGGGACUGACUGAGGGAUGUGAAGAAGAACAAAGGAGUCAGUUCUCUACAGCCACUGAUCUGGACAAGAGCCAUCGUGCACCCCAUCUACAGCCAUACAAUUCAAUGUGUAGUUGCCUGAAUAUUUCAACAUCUUUCACUUCUUGGAGUCCUUGAAGAUGCCACUCUCUGCCUGGAAUGCUCUCCUCCCAUCAGUUUGACAAACAAACUUAAAGGCCUUUCUGUAGCUAUCUGUGAUGUCCCCAACAAAUUAAUAGUUGCUUUUAAUGCUACUUCUGUGCUUUGGACAUAUUCGCAUUAUAGUAAUAUCUGGUGGUACUGUAAUCAUCUAUUUGUCCAUCCAUUUCUUCAUUACUCUGACCAUUUUAAGGGCAGAGGUUCUGCCUUUUCACUUUGUCAGCUCAUUGCCAGGCACACCAAAAUGUCUCCACUUGGAUACCCCACAAAUAUCUCAGACAUGACUUUUUCGAAAGUACAAAAUUUGUUGAAUAUACUUCUUUUCAUCUUCUGUACUUUAAGUGUGAGGAUCUUCAUCGUCUUUGGUGGUGAAUAUUUAAUCAAUCCUAUGUCUUAAGUGAUGGAGAUUCACAGACUAUUGGUUCUCAUCUGUCAUUCACAACCUGUUCCCUUCUCAAGUGGCAGUUUUCUGUAGGGUGUAAUACAGACUUUUUUUCCUUUAAACUCCAAUGAAGUUUCCAUUGUUUCACAGAAAGAUCCUCAUUUGAAUUAAAGCACAGUGUUAAUAGGAACGCUUCCUGGAUGCACAGUUGGAUUUGAACAGGGCAGUGGUAUUUCAAGAGCGUCGCUUCCUUUUUAUCUGGCUUGCAUUUAAAAAGAUCAAGAAAGAUAAUUUCUUUUGCAGAAUCAUUUGCAAAAGUUAUGGUUGUGUACAAACAUACACACACUUCAUUCACAAACCUCAAAACAAUUAAUGAAUAAAAAAGGAAAAUUAAUU
ensembl:lncRNA